UAGGUGACUUGAAGAGAAUUUACUUCUUCU
rnacentral:piRNA from 1 species